GAUAAAUCGCUGAAUAAGAGGAGUAAUUCUGUCAGAUGCACAACAGAGAGCCGGUUAUGGUGAGACCCGGUGUGAUAUGGCAAAAUGAAUGGGCUUAUGAGAGGUUCCUUGAAAAUGAAAGUAGAGGAACCCGGUUUCCGCCGUUAAAAGGAUAGGGUAUCGGAAUUUUUCCUGUACCUGAAAAGAGGGAAGGCUUUAUAGCUUUCCAAACUGAGGUGGCACCGCGGUAAUUAAUCGUCCUCUGC
rnacentral:ncRNA from 1 species